AGUGAACGCUGGCGGUAGGCCUAACACAUGCAAGUCGAACGGCAGCACAGUAAGAGCUUGCUCUUACGGGUGGCGAGUGGCGGACGGGUGAGGAAUACAUCGGAAUCUACUUUUUCGUGGGGGAUAACGUAGGGAAACUUACGCUAAUACCGCAUACGACAUACGGUUGAAAGCAGGGGAUCUUCGGACCUUGCGCGAUUGAAUGAGCCGAUGUCGGAUUAGCUAGUUGGCGGGGUAAGGGCCCACCAAGGCGACGAUCCGUAGCUGGUCUGAGAGGAUGAUCCGCCACACUGGCACUGAGACACGUUACAGACUCCUACGGGAGGCAGCAGUGGGGAAUAUUGGACAAUGGGCGCAAGCCUGAUCCAGCCAUACCGCGUGGGUGAAGAAGGACUUCGGGUUGUAAAGCCCUUUUGUUGGGAAAGAAAAGCAGCAGGUUAAUACCCCGCUGUUAUGACGGUACCCAAAGAAUAAGCACCGGCUAACUUCGUG
rnacentral:rRNA from 1 species